AUUGAACGCUGGCGGCAGGCCUAACACAUGCUAGUCGAGCCAGCGGCGGACGGGUGAGUACUGUAUGGGGACUGCCCGAUAGAGGUGUAUAACUAUUGGAACCCGUGGCUACUACCGCAUACUAUCGGAUAACCCAUAUGGGAUUAGCUAGUAGGUGGGGUAAAGGCUCACCUAGGCGACGAUCUCUAGCUGGUCUGAGAGGAUGAUCAGCCACACUGGGACUGAGACACGGCCAAGACUCUAACGGAGACAGCAGUUGGGAAUUUUGCACAACGGGGGCAAGCCUGAUGCAGCCAUACCGCGUGUAUGUUGAAUGCCGUAGGGGAGGAAAGUACUUUCGACGGGGGGGCGUUACCGGCAGAGGAAGCAGCGGGUGACUCCGUAACAGCAGCCGCGGUAAUAC
rnacentral:rRNA from 1 species